rnacentral:rRNA from 1 species
UACAGAGGGUGCGAGCGUUAAUCGGAAUUACUGGGCGUAAAGCGUGCGUAGACGGUUAUUUAAGUCGGGUGUGAAAGCCCCGGGCUCAACCUGGGAAUUGCAUUCGAGACUGAAUAGCUAGGGUACGGUAGAGGGAAGCGGAAUUUCCGGUGUAGCGGUGGAAUGCGUAGAUAUCGGAAGGAACAUCAGUGGCGAAAGCGGCUUCCUGGACCAGUACCGACGUUCAGGCACGAAAGCGUGGGGAGCAAAGCAGG